GGACAUCUUGUUUCUCGGGACGAGCAAUGAAGGCGCUGCAGUUUAUUCUUGUCAUAUGCUUGCUAGCAACCGUAAUGCACAGUGCUGCUGGUGUCAGGUCAAUAUGGCAACACAAAACUUGCCUUGCAUUUUGUCGUCCACGCUCAAACAGUACUUGCAGAAGUGGGUGUACCUGUACUCCAUUUCGUCUCUUCAAUAGAAUUGGUGCUUGCCUGAAUGCAAGUCUUUCAAUUCCUUGGAUGUUCCGUCAGCCAGUGAGCCAACUAGCUGAAUAGAAACAGUCGCAGACAUUCACAGGAUUCACUCCAAAAUAACGCUCAAGUAAACCUUGUUAUGGUAAUACUGCAAUUACCAGAAUGAAAAAAUAAAUGGACUGCGAUGUCA
rnacentral:lncRNA from 1 species